CUAUUGGAGCUGACGACUGUAUCGGAGGACCCUUGUGGCCGCAUCCCAUCUCGCCUCCUCGACGAUCUUCAAUAAUCUCCUACACUCAGUGGUCAAUUUAUUCCUUUCCUCGGUGUAAGCCUUGUCCUUUGGCCAAAUAGCUGUCUGACGAUGCUUGGCCUUUGCUGAAGCCUCCCUGAGCACCUCCUUGACUUCGAUA
rnacentral:lncRNA from 1 species